rnacentral:rRNA from 1 species
GGCUAACUCCGUGCCAGCAGCCGCGGUAAUACGGAGGGUGCAAGUGUUAAUCGGAAUUACUGGGCGUAAAGCGCACGCAGGCGGUCUGUCAAGUCGGAUGUGAAAUCCCCGGGCUCAACCUGGGAACUGCAUUCGAAACUGGCAGGCUUGAGUCUUGUAGAGGGGGGUAGAAUUCCAGGUGUAGCGGUGAAAUGCGUAGAGAUCUGGAGGAAUACCGGUGGCGAAGGCGGCCCCCUGGACAAAGACUGACGCUCAGGUGCGAAAGCGUGGGGAGCAAACAGGAUUAGAUACCCUGGUAGUCCACGCCGUAAACGAUGUCUACUUGGAGGUUGUGCCCUUGAGGCGUGGCUUCCGGAGCUAACGCGUUAAGUAGACCGCCUGGGGAGUACGGCCGCAAGGUUAAAACUCAAAUGAAUUGACGGGGGCCCGCACAAGCGGUGGAGCAUGUGGUUUAAUUCGAUGCAACGCGAAGAACCUUACCUGGUCUUGACAUCCACGGAAGUUUUCAGAGAUGAGAAUGUGCCUUCGGGAACCGUGAGACAGGUGCUGC